rnacentral:snoRNA from 1 species
CCCAGCUGUAGGCCACUGCCUAGGUUACAUUGUACCUAGGCAAGUGUUCCGCUGCUGGGAGAAAGGCAUCUAAUCGCUGGCGGGCAUCCCGGGCCUGGCUAAUGCCAAAUUUGCAUUAACUAUAACCAGCGUGCCACCAUG